UAGAAACAAUAAUAACUUCGGGAUAAGGAGGCUCUGAAGGAGAAGUCGGCUUGAUUGGGGGAAACAAUUAUGGUUUAUCCUGGGUAACGAUUUAUGGUUUCUUGUUCCCCGGAUAGUUAGGUAUCCAAUUGGAACUUUCUUGCUAAAAUUUUUAAGAAUCUAGUUGGGUCAAACCAAUUAGAUUUAACGAUUAUCAAUUAACAAUCAAUUCAGACUGGCACGGACUUGGGGAAUCCGACUGUCUAAUUAAAACAAAGCAUUGUGAUGGCCCUAGCGGGUGUUGACACAAUGUGAUUUCUGCCCAGUGCUCUGAAUGUCAAAGUGAAGAAAUUCAAGUAAGCGCGGGUCAACGGCGGGAGUAACUAUGACUCUCUUAAGGUAGCCAAAUGCUCGUCAUCUAAUUAGUGACGCGCAUGAAUGGAUUAACGAGAUUCCUACUGUCCCUAUCUACUAUCUAGCGAAACCACAGCCAAGGGAACGGGCUUGGAAUAAUUAGCGGGGAAAGAAGACCCUUUUGAGCUUGACUCUAAUCUGGCAGUGUAAGGAGACAUAAGAGGUGUAGAAUAAGUGGGAGAUAUUAGACUUCGGUUUGGUAUCGCCAAUGAAAUACCACUACUCUUAUUGUUUCCUUACUUACUUGAUUAAAUGGAACGUGUAUCAUUUCCUAGCCAUUAUACGGAUAUAUUUAUUAUAUCUUAUGGUAUUGGGUUUUGAUGCAAGCUUCUUGAUCAAAGUAUCACGAGUUUGUUAUAUAAUCGCAAACAAAUUCUUUAAUGAGAGAUGCAUUUACUGUAUUAUUGAUUUGAAAAUUUGGUAUAACUCCAAUUACUCAGGUAUGAUCCAAUUCAAGGACAUUGCCAGGUAGGGAGUUUGACUGGGGGCGGUACAUCUCUCAAAUAAUAACGGAGGUGUCCCAAGGCCAGCUCAGUGCGGACAGAAACCACACAUAGAGCAAAAGGGCAAAUGCUGACUUGAUCUCGGUGUUCAGUACACACAGGGACAGCAAAAGCUCGGCCUAUCGAUCCUUUUGGUUUAAAGAGUUUUUAACAAGAGGUGUCAGAAAAGUUACCAUAGGGAUAACUGGCUUGUGGCGGCCAAGCGUUCAUAGCGACGUCGCUUUUUGAUCCUUCGAUGUCGGCUCUUCCUAUCAUUGUGAAGCAAAAUUCACCAAGCGUUGGAUUGUUCACCCAUGCAAGGGAACGUGAGCUGGGUUUAGACCGUCGUGAGACAGGUUAGUUUUACCCUACUAAUGACAAAACGUUGUUGCGACAGCAUUCCUGCGUAGUACGAGAGGAACCGCAGGUACGGACCAAUGGCACAAUACUUGUUCGAGCGAACAGUGGUAUGACGCUACGUCCGUUGGAUUAUGCCUGAACGCCUCUAAGGUCGUAUCCGUGCUGGACUGCAAUGAUAAAUAAGGGGCAAUUUGCAUUGUAUGGCUUCUAAACCAUUUAAAGUUUAUUAUUUAUAUUUUAAACGACAAUGGAUGUGAUGCCAAUGUAAUUUGU
rnacentral:rRNA from 1 species